rnacentral:rRNA from 1 species
AAUCAACGCUGGCGGCGUGCCUCAGACAUGCAAGUCGAACGCGAAAGUCCCCUUCGGGGGACGAAGUAGAGUGGCGCACGGGUGAGCAACACGUAGGUAAUCUACCUUUGGAUGGGGAAGUAACAACCGGAAACGGUUGCUAAUACCGCAUAAUGCAGCGGCACCUAAUGGUGACAGUUGUUAAAGCGGGGGAGUCGAAAGACCUCGCGUCUAAAGAGGAGCCUGCGGCGGAUUAGCUAGUUGGAAGGUAAUGGCUUACCAAGGCUACGAUCCGUAACCGGCCUGAGAGGGC